GACGAACGCUGGCGGCGUGCUUAACACAUGCAAGUCGAACGCUGAAGCUCAGCUUUUGUUGGGUGGAUGAGUGGCGAACGGGUGAGUAACACGUUAGUAACCUGCCUCCUUCUUUGGGAUAACGCCCGGAAACGGGUGCUAAUACUGGAUAUUCACUGGUCUUCGCAUGGGGGUUGGUGGAAAGGGUUUUUCUGGUGGGGGAUGGGCUCGCGGCCUAUCAGCUUGUUGGUGGGGUGAUGGCCUACCAAGGCUUUGACGGGUAGCCGGCCUGAGAGGGUGACCGGUAACAUUGGGACUGAGAUACGGCCCAGACUCCUACGGGAGGGAGCAGUGGGGAAUAUUGCACAAUGGGAGCAAGACUGAUGCAGCGACGCCGCGUGAGGGAUGGAGGCCUUCGGGUUGUGAACCUCUUUCGCUCAUGGUCAAGCCGCAACAAUGGUUGUGGUGAGGGUAGUGGGUAAAGAAGCGCCGGCUAACUACGUG
rnacentral:rRNA from 1 species